UGAUGCAUAUUAACAGAUUACAAAAACAGUGGUGUGAAACAUCACACAUUUGUUGUCUCACAGUUCUGUGGAUCAGAAUUCUAGAAGGAUGUGGCUGCGCUCUCUGCUGACAGAAUUGGUCGGGGAUAGACGUGCUCAAAGCAGGCAAUGAAAUCAUCCACUGAAGCAUGUGUGGUCCACGGUGGAGCUGGUGUUUGAAUCUUCCGCUGCCUUUCCUCAGGCUGUGCCUUUAUUGCUUCUGCUCACACCUGGAAUAGGAUUUGAGUGGAAAUGUGAUUGGAGUAGAAGGCAUCAGGGAGGGAGCCUGAGCUGAGACCACAUCUUGAAAACACAGAUUUGAGGGAGCAGGUGGAAGAAAGAAAGUCAGCAGGCUUGGAGG